UGAAGAUCCUGAAAGAUUUAGAAUAGCAAGACAAACGACGUUUGGGAGGCGACAUGUAAACGCUUGUUCAACUACUCCUGCUCACUUGUGGAUUAAAUGCUUUUUCCGGCAAUUCUUCAACUCUGUACCCAAAAUUGACUAUCUCACUUUGCGCCAUGGUUUUAUUUCGGCUCAUUUAUCAACAAACAACUCCUUCAAUUUCCAAAAGUACAUACAACGAUCAUUGGAAGCCGAUUUCAAAGCAGUUGUUGGCAUAAGGUAAUGCAAUUUCACUAAUGAAUGCUGCAGUGAACAGGAUGGAAAAUUUCAGGUUUCUAAUUAAUAUUUUGAUCGGUUCUUGAUAAUUAGGAGUUUUUCCAAAUAUAUCAAACCAAAUUUUCAUCUUAAAAUGUCAAUCUUGUUAGAAGUAGUAUACAAACUUUUACGUGUCAGUUAUUUAUUUUAAAUGUGGGAGCUCAUGCCCAAACAUAUGCCCCCACAAGGUGGUAUUUUGUUUGAAAACACUAAUCUUAAAAUCUACUGCUCGUUUGAUUAGUAAUCGAAUCGAAUUGACCACAAGAUAGUUUUUCAUUUGAAAACACUAAUGGAAUCUGUGUACUCAUUUGAUUAUUAAUCAGAUUGAAUUGCUUAUUUGAAUUUAUCAUAUUCUAAUAUCAUAUUUUGAGGAUAUUUAAGAGUUGCUAUUUUAAAAGUGCAUGUUUUGUA